rnacentral:SRP_RNA from 1 species
UCUUGGCUAGUGGCGGGCGACGGACUAGUGAACCCGGUCAGGAUGGAAACAUAGCAGCCGUAACUUGCUCAUGUCGGGUCGCCCUAGCUAUUUUAG